rnacentral:rRNA from 1 species
UACAGAGGGGGCAAGCGUUGUUCGGAAUUACUGGGCGUAAAGGGCGCGUAGGCGGCCUGCUAAGUCGAACGUGAAAUCCCUGGGCUCAAUCCAGGAACUGCGUCCGAUACUGGUUGGCUUGAAUCCGGGAGAGGGAUGUGGAAUUCCAGGUGUAGCGGUGAAAUGCGUAGAUAUCUGGAGGAACACCGGUGGCGAAGGCGACAUCCUGGACCGGUAUUGACGCUGAGGCGCGAAAGCCAGGGGAGCAAACGGG